rnacentral:tRNA from 1 species
GCGUUUGUAACUCAAUGGAUAGAGUGUCAUGUUACGGCCAUGAAAGUUGUGGGUUCAAGUCCUGCCAAGCGU